UAUGUAGCUGGUCCACAAAAUAUCCUGUAUUAUAGUGAAAGAAGACAAUCUAUGUAGAAAACAUCAGCCAUCUCUGAGUGGGUUGGCAGCAAGAGUGAAUCUGUGUCCAGUGCCUCAGCUGGCACCUCCUGGAGUCUGGUGUCAGAGGAGCAGGACAAGCAGCUGGAGUAGAGUACUACAUAAAUCCAGCUCCUAUGGAGAGAUGCCUGUCAGUUCCUUUGGAUGUGAAACGGG